rnacentral:rRNA from 1 species
AGUGAACGCUGGCGGUAGGCCUAACACAUGCAAGUCGAACGGCAGCACAGUAAGAGCUUGCUCUUACGGGUGGCGAGUGGCGGACGGGUGAGGAAUACAUCGGAAUCUACUUUUUCGUGGGGGAUAACGUAGGGAAUCUUACGCUAAUACCGCAUACGACCUACGGGUGAAAGCAGGGGAUCUUCGGACCUUGCGCGAUUGAAUGAGCCGAUGUCGGAUUAGCUAGUUGGCGGGGUAAAGGCCCACCAAGGCGACGAUCCGUAGCUGGUCUGAGAGGAUGAUCAGCCACACUGGAACUGAGACACGGUUCAGACUCCUACGGGAGGCAGCAGUGGGGAAGAUUGGACAAUGGGCGCAAGCCUGAUCCAGCCAUACCGCGUGGGUGAAGAAGGCCUUCGGGUUGUAAAGCCCUUUUGUUGGGAAAGAAAAGCAGCAGGUUAAUACCCCGCUGUUCUGACGGUACCCAAAGAAUAAGCACCGGCUAACUUCGUG